ACGAACGCUUGCUGCAUGCUUUAUACAUGCAAGUCGAACGGAGGCCCUAGCUUGCUAGGUGUCCUUAGUGGCGCACGGGUGAGUAACACGUGGGAACAUACCUUAUAGUACGGAAUAACUGCGGGAAACUGUAGCUAAUACCGUAUACUCCAGUAAUGGGAAAGAUUUAUCGCUAUAAGAUUGGCCCGCGCAAGAUUAGCUUGUUGGUGAGGUAAAAGCUCACCAAGGCUUCGAUCUUUAGCUGGUUUGAGAGGACGAUCAGCCACACUGGGACUGAGACACGGCCCAGACUCCUACGGGAGGCAGCAGUAGGGAAUAUUGGACAAUGGGGGCAACCCUGAUCCAGCAAUGCAGCGUGAGUGACGAAGGCCUUAGGGUUGUAAAACUCUUUCAUCGGUGAGGAUAAUGACAGUAGCCGAAGAAGAAGGACCGGC
rnacentral:rRNA from 1 species